AGUGAACGCUGGCGGCAGGCCUAACACAUGCAAGUCGAACGAACACUUCGGAGUCAGUGGCGGACGGGUGAGUAACCCGUGGGAACGUGACCUUUGGUUCGGAAUAACUCAGGGAAACUUGUGAUAAUACCGAAUGUGCCCUAAGGGGGAAAGAUUUAUCGCCACUGGAGCGGCAAGAGUCUGAUUAGCUAGUUGGUGUGGUAAUGGCUCACCAAGGCGACGAUCAGUACCUGGUUUGAGAGAAUGACCAGCCACACUUGGACUGAGACACGGCCCGGACUCCUACGGGAGGGAGCAGUGGGUAAUCUAGCGCAAUGGGGGAAGGCCUGACGCAGCCAUGCCGCUUGAAUGAUGAAAGUCGUAGGAUUGUAAAAUUCUUUCACCGGGGACGAUAAUGACGGUACCCGGAGAAGAAGCCCCGGCUAACUUCGUG
rnacentral:rRNA from 1 species